UAACCCCAGCACUAACUGCUUAUCACCAGCCAAUCUUUCAAAACUUCAAGUAUAAGCUUUACUAAAAGCUGAUUUUUACCAUUGCUACUGUAGGAGAGAAAACAUUCCCCUGCCAAGUCCACAGCCAGGAGGGCAGCUCAGGCUUUUUUCCCCCAAUCUGUUCAAGCAGUUCUUUUUCUUCUCCUGGCUGUUUUCAGGUAUGUUUGCAGCUUCCUCUAGCACUGGCUCCAGCUAUCUCCUGGAGAGGUUUGCUAGAUGACCAUGACAAAGGGUUGUCUCCUUUCUUCCUUAGGUAAGUGCUGCUCCCACUCUCUGGGAAUGCUGUUUGCACAUUCCCAAGGAAAUCUCUGUUCUGACGUAUGAGACACAGCUGUGCCAUGCCAGUUAUUAACCACACAGGCAUGUACCUCAGUGGCUCAGGGUGAUCAGUUUAAAAUAGCAAAUACUGCCUAUUUAAAUAAACUUGAAGCAAAUCUAAGUUAAGACAAGUUAACUCCUGGGAUUAGGACUGCCUGCAUGGGGCAGUUUGCUUCAGUACCACCUGGGUUCAUCGGGUGCUGGAACAACUUUGGUGGACAAAAGCACUGGUAGUACACACAAGGCAUGAUGAUAGUUUGGAAAUCUGAGGGGGAAAAUUCCUGCUCAGUUCACGCUGCAGAGCUGGUGACCAACCUGCAAGUCCUGCCACAUGAACAUCUGAGGCCAUUGCUGAUGUUCCCCAACAUGUUUCAGCAGAUGACAGCAAGUUUCUCAGCCUCUUUAGUGGCCUCAGGUGACAAUCUCUCAGGAAGAGGAGAAUCUUCCACAUGAAAGAUUCAUUAUCUCAGAUAUAAGAUCCAUGUAGCUGUGGAGCUGCCCACUGAGCAGAGCUGAGUGGAGGAGCUUAAGGACAGCAAAAGGGUAUGUAAUGGGGAAUAAAUUGCCAGUGCUCUGACUGAGGGAAUCCCAUCAGAACUGAAACUGAAAUUGAAAUUCAGGUCUACAGCCAACUGUUCUGGCUUCAUGUCCCAUCAGAGGCUUUGCUGUUCUGCUCCCUCAGGGAGCUGUGUUCAGACAGACUGACAAGGAAAGGACUUGGUGCUACAUGGAGCAGUGACAGGCAGAGGAAUCUUAGGUGGGACAGUAACUUUCUCCAACUGAAGUGUGUCAGAAUCCUUCUGUGCAUCAUUAGGUAGGACUAACACAAACCCAGGUGAGUGUCAGUAUUUAUCAGACACAGCUCUGAGUCAGGAAGUGUCCACUGUGGUGGACAGACCAUGUCACACCACUGAGAGACUGCUGGUGGCAAGAGCCUUUUCUCUGCAUGACUACACACUGUAGGGCCUCUUGAGCAUUGUCAUUUUUAAUGGCUGUAACUUAUUAAUGGCAAAGAGGGUUCACAAA
rnacentral:lncRNA from 13 species